UACGGAGGGGACUAGCGUUGUUCGGAAUUACUGGGCGUAAAGCGCACGUAGGCGGAUUUGUAAGUCAGGGGUGAAAUCCCGGGGCUCAACCUCGGAACUGCCUUUGAUACUGCAAAUCUCGAGUCCGGAAGAGGUGAGUGGAAUUCCUAGUGUAGAGGUGAAAUUCGUAGAUAUUAGGAAGAACACCAGUGGCGAAGGCGGGUCUCUGGGCCGAUAUCGACGCUGAGGAGCGAAAGCGUGGGGAGCGAACAGG
rnacentral:rRNA from 1 species